CCAACGUUAAUCGGGGCAGGGUGAGUCGACCCCUAAGGCGAGGCCGAAAGGCGUAGUCGAUGGGAAACAGGUUAAUAUUCCUGUACUUGGUGUUACUGCGAAGGGGGGACGGAGAAGGCUAUGUUGGCCGGGCGACGGUUGUCCCGGUUUAAGCGUGUAGGCUGGUUUUCCAGGCAAAUCCGGAAAAUCAAGGCUGAGGCGUGAUGACGAGGCACUACGGUGCUGAAGCAACAAAUGCCCUGCUUCCAGGAAAAGCCUCUAAGCAUCAGGUAACAUCAAAUCGUACCCCAAACCGACACAGGUGGUCAGGUAGAGAAUACCAAGGCGCUUGAGAGAACUCGGGUGAAGGAACUAGGCAAAAUGGUGCCGUAACUUCGGGAGAAGGCACGCUGAUAUGUAGGUGAAGUCCCUCGCGGAUGGAGCUGAAAUCAGUCGAAGAUACCAGCUGGCUGCAACUGUUUAUUAAAAACACAGCACUGUGCAAACACGAAAGUGGACGUAUACGGUGUGACGCCUGCCCGGUGCCGGAAGGUUAAUUGAUGGGGUCAGCGCAAGCGAAGCUCUUGAUCGAAGCCCCGGUAAACGGCGGCCGUAACUAUAACGGUCCUAAGGUAGCGAAAUUCCUUGUCGGGUAAGUUCCGACCUGCACGAAUGGCGUAAUGAUGGCCAGGCUGUCUCCACCCGAGACUCAGUGAAAUUGAACUCGCUGUGAAGAUGCAGUGUACCCGCGGCAAGACGGAAAGACCCCGUGAACCUUUACUAUAGCUUGACACUGAACAUUGAGCCUUGAUGUGUAGGAUAGGUGGGAGGCUUAGAAGUGUGGACGCCAGUCUGCAUGGAGCCGACCUUGAAAUACCACCCUUUAAUGUUUGAUGUUCUAACGUUGACCCGUAAUCCGGGUUGCGGACAGUGUCUGGUGGGUAGUUUGACUGGGGCGGUCUCCUCCUAAAGAGUAACGGAGGAGCACGAAGGUUGGCUAAUCCUGGUCGGACAUCAGGAGGUUAGUGCAAUGGCAUAAGCCAGCUUGACUGCGAGCGUGACGGCGCGAGCAGGUGCGAAAGCAGGUCAUAGUGAUCCGGUGGUUCUGAAUGGAAGGGCCAUCGCUCAACGGAUAAAAGGUACUCCGGGGAUAACAGGCUGAUACCGCCCAAGAGUUCAUAUCGACGGCGGUGUUUGGCACCUCGAUGUCGGCUCAUCACAUCCUGGGGCUGAAGUAGGUCCCAAGGGUAUGGCUGUUCGCCAUUUAAAGUGGUACGCGAGCUGGGUUUAGAACGUCGUGAGACAGUUCGGUCCCUAUCUGCCGUGGGCGCUGGAGAACUGAGGGGGGCUGCUCCUAGUACGAGAGGACCGGAGUGGACGCAUCACUGGUGUUCGGGUUGUCAUGCCAAUGGCACUGCCCGGUAGCUAAAUGCGGAAGAGAUAAGUGCUGAAAGCAUCUAAGCACGAAACUUGCC
rnacentral:rRNA from 1 species